AUGAUCUUUGAAGUUCCUUCCAACCCAAACCCUUCUGGGAUUCUGUGAAAGUAAAUCCAGAGCCAGGAGCUGGAUGUGAGAGCACUCGGGAGCAAUGUGUGUGUGCUUGUGCUGGUUCCUGGCUGGCAUUUGGCCACCUGGGAGGUGACAGAAAGGGACAUUUAGUUGGGCCUGGUACUGGAAUUUCUGCUCAGACUGUAAAUUGUUCGGUGUGUGUGUGUGGGUAGAGAGAUAGGUCACAGAAUCCCAGAAUGGUUUGGGUUGGAAGAAACCUUAAGGGCCAUCUCUUUCCAACCCUUACCAUGGACAGGGGCACACUCCACUAGAGCAGUUUGCUCAGAGUCUCUUCGGGGUUUGUUUUGUUUUGUAGAAGGGAUGGAUUUCUGGAAUAGGGAGAACACCAGAACUAGGGUUUUGCAGUGCCUGAGCACCAUGAUCAAAGCACAGAGAGUUUUACAAGCCCCAUUCCUUCCCAUGUUCAUGCCUUUUUUAAUUCCAUAUGGAAGAGAAUGGUUUUGGAGAAAAGGCCAGAGACCUGAGGGUAGUGUAAAUCUCUCUGAAUGGAGGCACUAUUCCUCAUUUUAUGGAGACUUUUGUUAAGGGUGAGUGAAGCUCUGUUUUUUCCCUCUAAUCUGCAAGGAUUGGACAUUGAAACAAUACUCUGCUUCAGAAGGACGUUGGUUUAAUUCAUUCAGUUAUUUGCUAUUAUGGGAGGAAGAGCUUGAAAGCAGCUCAUGGGAAUGGAUCUGCGUCCUUUUAUGAGGGUUUUGGGGCUUGCCAUACCUCCCUCAUUCAAAGUAGUCACUUUUCAUGCUGUGUGCAUAGCACACAGCACGUAGAAUAACACUGUAGUUUCAAUUGUACAAAGUAAAUUUAAGGACAGGUUUUUAAAUACUUUUGUUGUAGGUACUUAAUUCUAACUUUAAUGUCUACUUCAAAAAAAUGCUUAUGAGACCUGAAAGUUGAGUAGUGCUUGAGAA